rnacentral:rRNA from 1 species
CAGAAGUGCGAAUGCUGACAUGAGUAACGAUAAUGGGAGUGAAAAACUCCCACGCCGGAAGACCAAGGUUUCCUGUCCCAUGCUAAUCAGGGCAGGGUAAGUCGGCCCCUAAGGCGAGGCAGAAAUGCGUAGUCGAUGGGAAACGGGUUAAUAUUCCCGUACUUGGUAUAAUUGCGAUGGGGGGACGGAGCAGGCUAAACAAGCAUGGCGUUGGUUGUCCAUGUGAAAGUGAGUAGGUUGGUGACUUAGGAAAAUCCGGGUUGCUAAGACUGAGACACGAGACGAGCCACUAAGGUGGUGAAGUUGUUGAUGCCAUACUUCCAGGAAAAGCCUCUAAGCUUCAGAUUAUACCGAAUCGUACCCCAAACCGACACAG